rnacentral:lncRNA from 1 species
CGUCCCCGGCGCCCCCGGUGCUGACGUCCUUGGUGGACCCCGUCUUGACGUCCCUGGUGUCCCCCAUCCCCAUGUUCUUGGUGGCCUGCAUGUUGACUUCCUUGGUGUCCCCCGUGCUGACCUUCUUGGUGUCCCCCAUGGUGACAUCCUCGGUGUCGCCCAUGCCAACGUCCCUCGUGUCCCCCAUGUUGAGGACCUCGGUGUCUCCCAUGUUGAUGUUCUUGGUGUCAUCCAUGCUGAUGUCUCUGGCGUCCCCCACGCCGAUGUCCUUGGCGUCGCCCGAGUUGACGUCACUGGUGUCUCCUGUGCUGAUGUCCUUGGUGUUGCCCAUGCCGACGUCCCUGGUGGCCCCCAUGUUGACAUCCUUGACAUCACCCGUAUUGACGUCCCUGGUGGCCCCCAUGCUGACGUCCCUGGUGGCCCCCACGCUGACAUCCUUGACGUCGCCCAUAUUGACGUUCACGGUGUUGCCCAUGCCGACGUCCCUGGUGGCCCCCACGCUGACAUCCUUGACGUCGCCCAUAUUGACGUUCACGGUGUUGCCCAUGCCGACGUCCCUGGUGGCCCCCACGCUGACAUCCUUGACGUCGCCCAUAUUGACGUUCACGGUGUUGCCCAUGCCGACGUCCCUGGUGGCCGCCACGCUGACAUCCUUGCCGUCGCCCGUAUUGACGUCCCUGGUGUGGCCCGUAUUGACGUCCCCGGCGUCCCCCGUGCCGACGUCCUUGAUGUCACCCGUGCCGACGUCCCCGGCGCCCCGCGCGCCCCCAGCCUCCUGGGCGUCGCCGGCCGGCGGGGGGCUCUUCUGGUGCCGGGUGAACUGGGGCUUGUUCG